GCUGGUUGGAGCUGAGCGAAAUCUGAAUCACUCCUAACCACAAUGGCCUUAGAAGGACGGAGGGUUUCUGUUUUCAGGGCGUGUUCAAAAGUGGGUUUUUGGUGACAUAGUUUGCUUCCACGUGGCCCCUGCCAACCGGGAGCUGAGAUUAGCAGUCGACGCGAAUCCAAUGAUUGAACUUCAAAACACCCAUGAAAAUAUUGUAAAAACAAAGCCAGAACAGAAGUACAGAGCUGGGGCAGACGAGGUGGAACAGGGACUCGUGCAAAAAGCGACCGUGCCGUCCAGACGCCCGUAGGCCCAGCGUGAGUCAGCAGCAGAAUGUGGGUGCCAACAACCUCAGGCAAGCCUGGACCAAAUGGAGACUCCAGAAAAAGAGAGAUGCCUGCCCACUCUGCACAGCGCAGGUCAGACCACCCUGGAGGAGGAACAGGAAGGGCGUGUUCCUAGCAGCCAUCAAUCACCAAGAUCGUGAAGGAGGUGGCUGGAGAGGACUCUAUAGGAGAUGGGUGACCUAGGGGAAAAAACUGCAGGGGUCGGGGGUCUCCUGCCUGUAACUUCUUGGAAGUUCCCAUCCCCCACCCCAGCCCCCACAUCUGGGACUCAGACUCCGUGGUUACAGCACUUCUCACGUGAGGUGAUGCUUUGAGUACAUGGCUGAGCAGGGACCCCAUCCUAAUUAAUGUUGCAUCCCUGAUGUUUGGCACAGGCAUUAGCCGUUUCUCAGCGAGCGUCUGAUGAAUUAAAUCAUUGGCAUGAAAAGCUAUCACCAUUUUGACCAUGAGGAAGAGACAAUGUAUUCUUUCCCUGUGCCUCAAAAAGACGGAACUGGGAGGGAGGGUGGAGAUUGCAUGAAAGUGGAUUUCAGCUCAAAAUUAGGAAGUACUUUAUAAUAAUAAUGACGACAGCUUUAUUGCGUAUUUUAAUCAUCUGUUGCUGCAUAAUAAAUUACUGCAAAACUUAGCAGCCUGCAACAAUAAUAAACGUUUACUAUCCCACAUUGUUUAUGUGGGUCAGGAAUUCAGGA
rnacentral:lncRNA from 1 species